AAAGGUAUUUUAGGAACACAGGUUAAUCUCCACAUUGUUUGAAGUGAAAGGAUGUGGAAAGAAGUUCAGACUCUACCAAGACACUCCUCCAUUGCUGCUGGUGAGCAUCUCACGGACAUUCAUGUGGCAGCCUUGCCCAGGGGUCUAUAUUAACAGUACCAUGGGAAGACAGUUGGGCUGUCUGACUCCUUCCCGGUUGCCUAUGAAUUGCUUCAGCCUGCAAAGAAAACAUCGUGGGACUUUGUUCAGAGAAGUAAACCAGCAUACAUUGAGUUCCACUGCCUUCAUUAUGGAAACUGCAUCUGUAACAACUUUGCAACCAGGCAGUACCUGCCCAGGAAAGCUGUCUCCUUCGGAGAGCUUGCAGCAUUGAUCUGGAAGAUGCUAUUAUGGUGUCUCCCACCCAUGCCCACAGGAUGCUCUCACUCAUUCAGGUUCUCAGCUGCCUGUCAGACUGGGCCAUGAUGAAACUCAACAUCUUGCAGAGACAUAAAAUGGAAAAUAGGCAACUCAUCAGAAAAGUAGCAGCUGUUUUACACCAUCACAAAACAAAAUCAUCAUACACUAAAAACUAGAUUUAGCAGUUUAAAAGAGCCGCUAACACAAAAUUAGCUGGAGACAACAGCGUGAUUUUGUAACUGACAGUGCUUCAUUCAAACGCCCUAAUUCAUGUAAAAACUACUUAGCAAACAUUAAACGCCUGAUGCUUUUGGAAAGGAGAAGAGCAUUCAGACUUUCAAUGGCUGCUUAGGAAGAAUGCAUAGAUUUAUUACAUCUUUUUUUUUUUCUUUUACAAAUUUUAAAUAAGCAUCAUAUCAAAAGUACCACCUCUUAAAUACCAGUGAUGCUACAGUCCUCCUGACAGAGGGAGACACCAUCCUUUAUUGGUGAGCUAUUGUGUUUACUGGGGGCUGACACCUGUAGAAAGGUUGUACGAGGCUUCUGUGAUGAAUGAGAUGAAAUAAGAAGGCCGUGAGCACUUUGGAUCAUCAAAUACUUCAAUAACUGGAUAUGGCUGUUCAUACAACCGUAAGUUCAUACACAUGGAGAGGAUAUAAAGAAGCAGCUGCCUUCUGAAUGAGCUUUCUGUUGCCUUCUCAUACGUGUACACAAUCUGUUCUAAAUGCCACACAAUCUUUCCUUUGUCCCAGAGGUAUUUCUCAUUGAGGAUGAAAAUUUCCCUGUGCUAUUGCUAUGUCCUGCCCAUAGCUAACACAGCUUCUGAAGGUUAGAAACUUGCCUGGCAAGAAAUGUAUCUAAGCCUAUUGCUACCAGAGUGUAUGUGGCUUGGCCAGAGACCUGUCAUCUAGCAACCAUGAAGGGAUGAUUUUUGAUUGCUUAGAACUAGAUUUAAGUUGUCCAUAUGACUACUAGGAGAAGAACUGGGUUUAUUUUUUCUUUUCUCCCAAAUCAAUCUAACGAUAGCAUCUAGUGCAUUUUCCCUGCCUGUGGAACAGGCUCAACUCCAUUGUCCUUAACAGUCCCUGUGGGUUUUGUAAAGUUAAUAGCUUAGAAAUAGCUUGGAAGAUUAAUAAUAAUACAUACGUGUCAAGAAGGGAAUAUUACCACUGACAGUAAUAGCAGUUAUGUUUGUGUAGAUGAAAUCCACAUGCUUUUCAAGAGAGGCAGGUCUCUGACAGCUCCUUUCUGACCUGAGUUACUGGGAGCACAUGCAUCAUUCAACAAAACAGCGCUGUCCUAGCUGAGGUGCUUCCAUGUCUCUGCAGUGGUAAACCCCUUUGCACUUCUAGUCUUGGGUGAUUCUCCCAUCAAGUCUCAUCCAACUGCUGCCUGACAAAGCAGUCCUGGUCUGGAUACAGAAUGAGGGAGGGAUAAAUAUUAAGCUGAAGCCUGGCUAUUUGUUCAGUGCAGACAAGUUGUGGCCCUGAAGAAGUCUUUUACCUUCCAAUAAAUUGAAGGGGUGGGGGUGUAAAAUGUUCCACAUCCUUCAAGGUUAUUUUUAUUUAGAUCCCACUCUUCAAAAGACUAUAUAUAUGGAUGCAAGAGUCAAGGUGCAAUCCAAAGUCUGAGAAGUUAUAGACUCCUUGAGACAGUCUCUGAUGGAUCUGAAUUUUUCAGCUAAAGAACAUCUAUGCUCUUGACCUGAGACCUAGAUUUCACAUUUCAGGAAUUAAAUGAGCAUCAUUUUCUAAAAGACAUUAGACCAAGGCUGGGCUACACAAAAGAUAGCUUCAGAAUUUAGAUGAAGACACUGACAUGACAAGGAGACUUAAAACCUGACAUAUUUUGCUUCUGUUGGAAAGCCAUACUUGGUUUGUUACACCCCACUGUGUCUUCUUAUGUGCAAGAGGCAAAGGAAAAGUGGAAGUUGUUUUGGACUGAGCAUCUCAGAAGGCAGAAGGCUCAGUGACCUAGAUGAUCUGGCCUUGUCUUAAAUUACUCUCUCCCCAAUUUAUCCUUAGACUGUGCCAAAAACCUGCCAAAGUAUAAUGGAAAUGUUUGCGAUCCCUGCCAAACUGUGAAGCCUCUGGCUCUGAGAUAUUUCAGAUGUCUUGAUUAGUCUGAAGGAGAUGGGCCUGAAAAUAAGGGAGUGUGAAAGGAAAAGAAAAGUAUUUCCUACCUGCAGCUGCAAAGCUGGGACUCAUGUCCAAGCGUUUGUCUUGCUCCUUCCAUACAGACAGAUGGACUUUCUCAGGAUAGAGUUCAACCUGCUUAAAAAAAAAAAAAAAAAAAGUUAAAAUUAAAAUUAAAAAAAAAUCAUGAUGGGGCAAGGAGACAAGAGCCUCCUCCCACAAAAGGACUGUAUUCAGCUACAAGCAGUGAACCCCUCACCUUUUCCUUGAUGCAAACGCUGACAUUUUUGCAGGCGUGUCCCAAAAUAGGGUUUUUCCGGAAGGCAGCCAGCUGCCCAGAUGUGCCACUGCUGCAGUCCUGAGGAGAUGAACAGAGGACCUUGCAGCAAGCAAGGAGCAGAGCCUAUGAAGAGACUGACUGCUCUUGUUUCAGAUCAGAUGGAUGGCUCUAAAUGACCUGGAAAGAUGUUCCCAGAGCUCUGAGCCACAGCAUUAAGAGCCAAGACACCACUAGCACUUCUGAAGUUGUUAUUAGUGACUGAAGUAGCACUUGUCAACUGCGACUACAGUUUCAAGCAAUAGUUUAACAGCAUCAACUUGAAGUAAGGUUAUAUCUCUGUGUGCCUGGUGUGCUGCUGACACUUAAAGGAAAUAAUUGGUAGACUUAGAGCAAGGGCAGACGCCAGAGGUAGAACAGUGGUAGAGGUUGGAUACUCAAAGCAUAAUUCAACAAUUCUGCAUGAAACAAGAGCUGAGAAUCCAUUGUAUGCCCUGGCAUAAAAGGCACAAGGAAGCUGUAACCCAGCCUGCAGAAAGUGCUCUGCUCUGUAGUCAUCAGCUGUGCUGCUCGGAUGUUUAAGGGCUCAUCUACAGCUGCAGUCUGCAGCCCUGUCCCAAUGAGAGGACAAAAACAUGUUGCCCCUUGCAGUUCUUGGCUGGCUUUUUUGGAAAGCACGUGUAAUGCAAUCUCCAGCUGAUUUCUGGCUUCAGGACAGCAAAGCCAAGAGAAAAUAUAUGGGUAUAUGUGCUUGUGUGCUGUGGAAAAGAAGACAGGAAAUUGUCUGGAAUGAAGCGCUCAGUCUCAUUUUACCUGUAGCUUGGCUGUGGGAUGCUAAAAUAGAGGAAUUAGCAUGCAAAUCCAGCAGUCCCUUGGCUGUCAUCACCUUCCAAUUAGCUGCAUUUGAUUUCGGUGGGCGCUGAUGGAUUGUGUCAGCAGGUGAGGCAGUAUGAGGAGAGGUGCUCUGGCUGCCACAGGCAGUAGAGGGCUGUGUGUGUGCCUGCUUUUCCCCUAUGCUGCCUGCUGGAAUGAUGCUGGCUGCCAAAAGAGAAGCACCAGAGGAACUGAUUCUGAUUUGAGUAUGGCCAGCAGGGUUUCAGCAGACCAUGCUAUAGCUGUACAAUGUAUGUGAAUUAGGAGGAUGUCUUCAAAGCGAAGAGUAGCUUGUGUUUGGUGAAACAAUUUGACGAAGCAGAAGAACUGCCAUGAGAAAAGGGCUGCCAGGGGAAUGUAGCCAAGACAGAUGUGACUUGGUCACACCAAUAAGUUAGGGAAAUUGCAUUUACAGAGCAAUUUUAAAGCACGGGAAUAUGAUCCAAUUUGUUCAGAAAAUGGGAUGUUUCCAUGAAUAAAAGCAAGCAAUCCCAAUCCUCUGCAAGAGUUUUAGUUUUGUGGAGGGCUGGAAAAUUCAGCAUCUUUUCUGUUUGUUCUUUAUGAAUAAAACUCUGAAGGAAACAGACACAUUUUUGGAUAAAAGAAAAAAAGCUCAGAAUAGAUUUAUGAGUCAUUGUCAUAGCAAUAAUAUUUGGGUUUGUACGCAUAGGCAGGAUUGCCAAGAGAAAAGUAUGGGAGCAGAAGAGGCAAAGGAUUAUUAUCUGCAAAGUCAACACAAAAUUGGAGGGUGGGGAUGGAGGUGAAGGGCCUCCUUCAGCCAACAAGAGCAGCAUCAGUGAAGGACUGAGUCACAAAUGCGCAGAAUUCACAGAGCAAGAGAAGACGUCAAAAGUGGCUGAUGGGUCAAAAGCCUGAGGCUGGCACUCUGCUCUUAGCUUUUGCCCAAGAAGAAAUAGGGGAAGAUUUUUUUUGAGAGUUAUUUCAGUUGGAGGUAUGAUUGGCUACAGAGGACAAAGGAGGUGGAGAAAGAAAACUGUAUAAGCCUAGAGAGGAAAGGGAGCUCCAGAGAUGCAUAUUAGACAAGGAGAAAAACUUACAACUUGAAAAAAUAAAGCACAUUAUUGCGAGAGCUGAAAUACAGAGAACACUGACAGGUUCAGGAGUAUGAGAAAAAAAUUGAGAGGGGAAACCGAAGAUCAGGACUUGAAAUUAGACUUCUAGGUUAUAAGGAUAUAAAAAGAAAAAUGCUUGACACUGAGAUGGCAGAAGGAGGAAGAAGAGCAGAACAACUUGAUUCAAUUUUCACUUCAGAGAAGUCAGCAAGAGCAUCCAGAGUUUAUUUGUAGAAGCAGCCAUGUAGUGGCAGUGAGGUCUUCAUAUCUCAUGUUGGAUGAUGGGGCACUGGGCAGCCUGCUCUGGUUGGUGACAACCAGCCCAUGGCCAGGGUUGGGGCUGGCUGGUUUUAAGGUCCCUUCAAACCUAAGAAUCUGUGAUUCUAAACAGUCACUAAAGCUCUAGAGAAUAUGCAGAUAUAAUAAACUAUAUAGCCUUUACACUGAAGUACAGUGGGUACUUUCAGAAUUUUAUGGUAUGUAUUUAAGUCACACCUUCACCUCAGGAUCUUCUAAACUCUAUGAACUAUUAGCAGCUGGAAAUGAAAAAUAAGAAAAAACUUGCAGGAAAAAUAUUGCAAUUCCUAUACAAGCUUGUAAAUACUGGUAUUGUAGUGUGCAGGUGGGAGCAUGUGUUUUAUAAUUCCAGAAAGUGACAGGUAGGGGAGCUCUUAUAAAUUUAUUAUUAUGCAGUAAAGCACACCAAAUAUAAGAAAAUAUGCUUAGUUUAGCGUAGGGAAAAAGAGAACAAAAAAUUAUUUUAGAACCUGUCCUCUUUUGUAGAAAUUGGGCUGGAAUUUAACAAUAUAUGUCAAGUGAGGUAAUUGUUUAGUUCUAAAGUAAAAUUCCAGGGAGUACCUUUUACAUUUACACAUGAAUGGUGAGCCAUCAUCUUAAGCUGACCAUGAAUUUCUAAUUUUCCCCCCACAAAAUCUUUCUUUUCUUACUUCUGCAAUGACCUGGCGCACACACAUACUAAGACUUCUAACGUAAACAAUAUCUUCAACUUGUUCAUCUUCCUCUAAUUUAUUACAUAUAGAGUGUGCCAUAAAUGAAGGCAAAAAGGGGAAAGUAGAGGAAGAAGUAAAAAAAAUGCAAUUGGAAGCAGAUGUUAGAAGCUGGGACCAGGGUUGGAGGAGGAGAGGACAAUGUUAGGAGACAAAAAUUGCUCAUACAUGGAGAAGUGGAGCUGGAGUGGACCAGACAACUCACCAGGAUGGGAGCAGAGGAUAUUCCAGCUGCAACCUGAGCUGCCAAAAUGGAGUCACAUUUAUUCUAAAAGCAAGGAACAGUGAGAGAAGAAUUUAAGCUACUGUUAACAACGACAUCCUGUUUACCUAUGGCGAUAGUAACGAUGGGACUUUGAGCUCUGCGUCAUCUCUUACGACUGCUUUUGAUUACCUUAAAACAGAGGAUGCCAAAGGAGCUUAGAAGAGCACCUUCGGCACCUGCCCCAAAACAGGACUGCAGAUCUUUCCCGCGUCUCGCUGAGAUUGAGAGCUUCUGUCCUUGAAAUGUUAAACUCAUUAUCUGGAAGGUGUGGACAGUGUCGUGUCUCAGAAAUCCAGCGCCCAGAAGAAAUCUGACAGAAGUGUGUCACAGGGUGGGGUGUGAGGGGGGAACUCCUGAGAAAUGUUGAGCGCGUGUCUUUUUUUGGCAAAGGGUGCUGGCCGGACUCGUCAGCUGAUAGCAUCCAUAGAGCUGGAAGACUGAAAAUGAACUGCAUUGCAACAGAGAUCUCACCACUGAAACAGCACACUGACAUUUAUAUUAGCUCUGUUUGACAUGACCUGACGGGCUCGGCUGGGUUGAAGCCAUGCCCGUGCAGCAUCCACCUGCUUCCCCCUUCCCCAGCCCUUUGCCAUAUGCCCUUCUCUCUGUCCUGGGAAGGAAGGAGAUCCUACCCAGCCCACUGCUGUUAGCUGCAGGAAAGGCAGCUCCUUGGCCAACGACACAAAGCCAAAAGUGGAAAGGUGAAGAAGUAGAAAAUGCUGUCGUAUGCAUAGACAGUGCUCUUAUGCUUCCCUGACUGUGGGGAGACUGACAAGCUCAAGAAGAAACUUGGUGGGGUCAGGAGAUUUUCCCCUCCUCCAGGCUAUGCUGUGCUUUGAUACUGAACUGAAGCGACCUCGAUGAAGUUACCUGAUUUACCUGGAGGUGGUAGGGAGAGAAUCCUCUCCAAUAAAUUGUAUCAAUUUAACGGGGAUCAUAUAUGAGAGAAAGGGAAGUCCAAGCCCUCGGUCCCCGGGGCUACUUUGGGGGCUGACUGUCAAGGUGUGUUUUUUAUUGUGUGUACCGCUUGUCUGAUGAUAGGAACUAAAUUGAGAAGAGGCUCAUUUCUCACAGGCCACUGAACAACCAGAAUGUGCUAACUGUCAUACGUAGGAAGCACUCAGGUGUCGGGAUUGUCAAGAGAGAAAGUGCAGCGCUUUUUAUUAACUGCAAGAGCAAUCAGCUCUGUCUGGGUCUGCUCAGUCUUGUGGAAACACAUAGUUCACACUGGGCAGUGCUCAGAGGCUUAACACAGGUAUCAGCACUGAGACUCCAGUAAUAACUUCACAUUAGAGCUGAUGCAUUAUGGACUGUUGCAUAGUCACAAUUAUACUGAUGGCACCUUGCAGCCUGAUCUCUGACUCAAAGGCAUUUCUUAAGUCUGAACAGGUUCAAUACUGCACGAUUCAGCUGUGUAUUUAAACACUAUUUUGUCUUGCAUGGUUGAUGGAAAGGCUGACAAGAUAUUUGUUGCCUGCUCAGAGGGUGGGUAUGCUGGAUCAGGCUCAGAACUCAGUAAAUGUCCAAAUGUAGUGCUUGAUCUAGCAGCCAGCAUCUCUACCUGUGGCAGAAGGUUUGGAACUAGAUUAUCUUCGAGGUCCCUUCCAACCCAAGCAGGUCUAUAAUUCUUGGUUUCUACAACAUGUGCCUACUUCAAGGUAAUAUCCUGGCCAGGCCUCAUGGUGCAUGGUAGAAAAACACUGAAAAGAAAGGCAGUGAGGAAGAUGACAUCAAAGCACUGGUGGCCGCUUCCUCAGCUCUGCUCAGUCCUUCCCUGAAAGCUGUAAAAAUGAUUCCAAAUUUUUGGAGGGUUAAACGUGAUUCUGGAAUAAAUUUGAUGAGCUUAAUUUGAAUUAAAUUUGGACUAAAUUCAACCACAGCUGAAAAAAAAAACCAAAACCCAAAAACCAACACAUUUCUGUAAACUAGUUCUCAUAGUAGCAACGUUGCCUUUGCUGGCUCUACGAAGGUUGAACGUAUCCAGAUCUCAUCCUCAUUCCUGAUACCACACCAUUGAGCUGUGCAGGAGAAGCUCUGGGGCUUUCUUUUCUCAGUGAGGAGAGACCCAAACCCCAUGACCUAAAGCCAUCAUCGCAGGUGGGUUCCAUGCAGCAUGUACACAAAAGAGGCCAAAUACCCCAGAAUCAGUACGUGGCUUCCUUACCACCUGGAGGUUAUCAGAAAGGCAUUAAGGGCUCCAUCUCUGUUAAGAAGUCAGCACUUAGCUGUGAGCUGCUACACCUCAGAGAGUCGCCUCCAGGACUCUGUGAUUCUUGUGGGUCCUUUCCAAGUCAGGAUAUUCUGUGAUUCAAUGACUCUGUGAAACAGUACUGGAGGAAUCUCUACCUGUUGCUUCAUCUAGUAGUUUUCUGCCAGAAAUAAGCAAAUUAUUAUUUUUCACUAGCCUAAAAUCAGUACACGAUUAAGUACAUAUAUGAAUAUAAGGUUCCAAUCUGUGUAUUUCACCUCUUUACCCAGAAAAAGCCCUGAGAAGAGCAUUAAAGCCAGAGGCCAGCUGAGCCAACUGAAAUGUUCACAGCUGACUGCAGCACAGCACUCACUUGCAGGCAAAGAAAAUAACCUACUGCACCAGAAAGAGAAAAGUGAAAUAUCCAAGGCCCACCAGCCACUGCUGAGCCUGAAUCUCUCCCUUUUCACAUUCUCUCAUACUAUCUCGUAUCACAGAAAACACAAACCCUUGGAGCCCUGCACAUGAUUCCACAGCCAGGUGGCACACCUUGAAGACAAGAGAAGUAACACAUGGGUCAGUCAGCUGUACAGUGGUUUGUGUCCUUAGCAGGUGCUUCAGUGUCAAAGAUAUUAAAUUCAGUUAUUUUCAGCUCUGUGCCAAGAACCGAAAAGGCCUGUUCUUCCUUCUCUACCCCCAUUCUAAUUAAGUUUAUAGGCAAGGACUAUCAGCUAGGCUGAGGGUUGAGCUGUCAAGUUAAGAGAGAAACGCCAGCAAGGCAAAACCUGCCAGCUGGAAAGACAGAGUUUCUGAUGGUGGCUGUACUUUCUGAAAAUUAUCUCUCCAGUCUCAUUUUUCAUAUGUUUCUCAAUAUAUCUCAUCUUUCUCUCUGUCUCUCACAUACCCAGGUGCACACAGGCACAUGUGAGUUAUGUGCUAUAGCAUCUUGCUUUGGUGGAUUGCCUCUGACUAUAUCAAAAUAUAUAUAAUAUAGCUAAGGGCUCUAUCCUUCUUCCAACUACCUCAGUGUAAUGCAGACUUCAUCUCAGAUGAUUUGACUCUAGACACAGGCUGUUCUGAUUUUCAGCAGGAACUGGCAAGACCAUAUCUGCAAAUCAUCCCUGCACACAUCUAUGUGCUUGUUCCUUGGUACAGCAAUUAUUGGGUUAAUUGUAGUAGAAUCUCUACAAUUAGUCAACUUUCUCAACAACCCUAGAGUGAAGUAACUCGUACCUUUAGAAAGGGUGGCUGAGAUGCAAGAAUAAUGAACCAUUGAUUAAGAUCUUGAAAAUAUUCAGGAGCAGAGCUAGAUUUCAGCCCCGAGAACGGCGGAUCACUGCCCUCUCUGGAGCACCUCAUGGAACCGGGCCCCCAGCAGGCAUUGCUGGCUGCCACAUGUGCUGCUUUCCUCCUGGCAGAAACAAAAAAUCUUUUCUAUUUUUUUGCGAGGUCUUUGAUUCAAAUCCUUCUCAAGCCAAUAUAGUAAAGUCCAAAUUCUCUUCUAUUAGGUCCUGAUAAACAAUGGGAGCAUUUGAACUUAUAAGUGUGAAAUGUAAAAACCCAUCAACCUUAAGGCAGCAAUAAACAGAAGCAGAGAAACAAUUCUCAGUUUAGUGCCUUACUACUGGACCUGGCUACAUCACUCUGUAUCCCAUGCAAUUCAGAGCUGGAAAAUGCAUCACUGUGAUAAUCAUCACAAUCCAGCUUAAUCUAGAGCACUUAGCACAUCUACUUUAGUAUUUACCAAGGAAAUUGGCAAAUCUCCCUCUUGAGAUGGAGGAGUAAGGACAGUGCUGGAAGUGCCAUGGGCUAUGAGAAGCACUGGCUUUCAGUCCUAGUGGGUUUGCAGCUCUCAGUUGAUGUUGCUGCAACUGCAUGGUGUAAAAUUGACUCAGAUUCCGAACCUCAUCUGUCAUCAGAUUUGUUGCACCUCCUACAGCUUUUUACUUUACAUCCAGCGUUUACUCAGGCCUCAGUCCCAAAUGACCUCUGUGAGACUGGCUGACACUAUAGCAAUCCAGAGGCACCUGCACCAAAAGGCAUAAGGCCCUAGCAUCUGUGGUAUGUUCCCUUUCUCCUGUUGAAUUGUCCUUCAGGACUUCACCUGGUCUGAACAUGCAAGUUCAACAAACUGGAGGAUGAUGUGAUCUGAUUACUACAUCUCCUAGAUCUGCCAUUGCACUGCAAAGCCCAAAAUGGAGUCCCAGAUUUUUCAUAAGGAAAACUCCUUCAACCAAUCCCGCUAACACUGUGAUGCUGAAGAGUUUCCCAAAAUUACAAAAAAAAAUCAGACAAGGCUGAAGGGAAAGAGAUACAAGAACUGAGUGGUAAAAAUCUUCUUAGGCAGAUAGCAGAACAGGGAACCUGCAGAAGGAGUGUCUAUACAAGAUGUGGGGCAGAGGGAAGAUGGGGCCCUUUGGAAGUUGAGCAGCAGAUCUUUCCUGCUACUACUCUGUUUUGCAAAAAAUAAAAAUAAAAAUAAAGGAGGGUUGGAAUGGCACGGUUGCAUGGAUGGCAUGGUUAAAAAGUCUUCCUUUAAGCAUUACUGGUAGGCAAGACAGAGAAUCAGGUCCAUGUGAUGUACUGAUACCCUAUUUAAGUAAAAUCAAAAGACUGAGGAUCGGGGGGCAGUUUAGAUCUCCUCAUGAAUGACUGAGGUUUAAGAUGCUCUGUGAUAUAAUCCGGACAAUCUAUCAUCUCCGUCCCCCCCACAGAGAGGAUAAUUAACACGGUAAAAUGCAGGAGGCUCAGUGCACCCCUUUCUGAUGUCAGGGGCCCAUUUUAAGGUCAAUGAUUGAAAUGCUCCAAUGGUGUCAGCUGAGCUUUUGCAUCCGUUGCUAGGAUUUUACUCACCAAGGACUCUUAAGGUGAUGUAUGUUCAUUAGUUUACAGGAAGAUAUAAUUACCCAUCCAAACUGCACCAUGUUUCAUUUGCUACUAACCUUCUGAUUCACCUAGGUAGGUGGCAAUGAGUGCAUUUGCUAACUGGUGAUUACCAAAUUAGUUGCAUGAUAAACCUUUUUCAACAUACCUUUUAGGGGAAAAAAAAAAAAGUAAAAUGAGUAAUGAGUUGAUCUUUUCCUUCAGCAUGCCAUAAUUUUUAUUCAUUUAACUUGAGCCAAUUUAUUAGGGGAGAGAGGGAGAGAGCUUGUGUUCCUUUGCACUUGCAUUGCAGAAGAGACAAACAAAGGGAAAAUUUCUGAAUGUGGUUAUAUUUAAAAAUUCACAUUAAUUAUAAACCCACACACUCUUCGUAAAGGCAGGGGCUACAGCCUGGCUGGGGGAGGGAAUAGGGGGUCAUGUAUAAAUUGUCUCCCAAGGACCCCACUGAAAUUUCCAUAGCGUUCACCAUAUGACACUGAUGUGUGAAAAUUGACAUGAAGAUUUGAAAAUUGGGACCGAGGGAGACCAAGCAUAAAAUAACUUCAAUUUUGCGCUUUCUCUGUCUCUCGGAGGAAUAGUGCAGUGGACUGACCAACACAACACAAACAAGCCAAGAGGAGAGAAAAAAAAUAUUCAGGGAGAAGGAUAGGAGUUAUUAAAGAGAAAACACACUCCUCACUCACUGAGAGAAAGGAUGAUCAAUGGAUUUAGUCACAGGGAAAUUCAAGCAGAAAAUUGCUGCUGUUUUUUAUCUGAGAGGCAGAAAGUUUAACCAAACCAGAAUUCUCUCGACUCACUCCUAGGCAAACAGUGAAAAAAACAGAGCUUUGUGAAAUGGUAGAAGUGAGUGUUUGUGCACGUGUGUGUAUAUUUUUGAGUGUGAUUUUACAGUUUUAUGAUGCCAAAUGAAUUGUUAUACAGAGCCCUCACCUCCAGAAGUCUGCGACUGGGAAGAUUUUAUAAGGUGUUUAUAAUCUGCCAUGAGAUUGAAAAUCCCAGCAAAAUUAGAAAGCCAACCCCAUCUAGUGUGAAUAGCCAUCAGAUGGAGUCACUGCACUCAGCUGCUAACACACAAGUUCUAUUCCUUCUUCAGAAUGAGGGCAAACAUGUAAAAUCACCAAUAAUAGAUCAGGAUAAGUAACAAAACAUUUGAAAACUAAAUGUUUUCGCUGUGCCUCCUGUACUAAAGGGUUUAACAUUUUAUUCUGGGAAGAUUGGCACUGUUUUAAAAUGCUAUAUACUUUCUCUCAGUUUGUUCUCUUUGGGAUGCUCUGUGGUGCUGAGUGCAGCUUUUUUGAACUGAAUUUUGGCAUUCUGGAGGCUCUUGCUGGCACUUCUGCUUACAAAAAAUCAAGUAAGUCUUGGGACUUGCUGCUAGUGGUUCCCAAACCAGAUCAUUAUGCAAAGGCAGGAGGUACCAGAGCAUCACUGAACUGUGGAAAUAACAGCAUACUUCAUCUCCUGGAGUUUAACUGCUAUUCUGGGAAUAGAUGUCCAUAAUUUUCUUUGCACUGGUUAGCUGUUCAAUAGUUCACAUCCUCAGAUUAUUGGUCAAAAUGCCUACCAGAGUUGGAAAUACUCUUUAGGCUCUCAGCAGGACCAUCCAACACUACAGCACUGUGAUGUGGACAGACAUACAUCCUAUAUGUAAACUCAUGGAUAUUUCUUAAAACCUAGACCCGUUAUAAGCUGCAUCUUAAGAAAACACAUCUGUGCAAUCUGUUCUAAGUAGAUACCCAGCACUCACCAUCACCACUAUUGCAGAAGUUCUAUCAUGUUCCUUCUGCUGCCAUUUUCCUUUGUGGAUCACAAGUUGCUUGCUAUUCUCUGUUACCCCAAAGAUCUCUGUAAGACAAUGGAGAUUUAAGUCAGUACAUUUUUGUUGUGGAAGAAAGGCUGUGAGUGUAGAUAGAUACAAACUGUAGACUGCUUUAGCUCUAAAACUGGUUGUUCUGUAGGUCUUAAUAUCAUUCUCAGUCAGAGAGGUUGCACUGUACAGUUGAACACUGAACACUCUACUGCCUCACCAGACAAUUUUUCUCAAGCUUACUUAUUUUAUUUAGCACAUAAGGUUCCUUGUGCUUGCGGAUAUGAUGAGCUACAGGACCAGUGUUCACAUGCUAUGGAUUUCAUUUAUUACAAAGUGUAGUAUAAAAUAAUGAAAAAUAGCUCCAGCCAUUCCUUCUCUCUCCAGGGUAUCUCAGCACCCCUAUGGAUGACCGCACACAUAGUCAGCUCCAUAGAAACAAAUGGAGAGGAAAUGGCACGGCACUGCUCAAAGCUGGAGGACUGCGCUGGACUGGAAGCAUACUUCAUCCAUAGCUUCUAUUGAAGGUUUAUUACAGAGGCUACUGGAAAGAAAACAAAAAAACAUUUAUAUUUUUUGGGGAAAAGAUGGGCCUUAUAGGUACUGGAGAGCAGGCAGAAAGGAGAAUUCUCUAUUACAAAGGCCUUUAGAAAGUAUUUAUCAAUAAACACCUUGAGGUGUUUCCAAUAGCUCCAAAUGGAGAAUACUCUACGACUCAUAGACUGACUAACACAAGAGAUGCCCGUCAUUGACUCUUAAUGCUCUAUGGAGCAUGAAAACAAUGGCAGGAAAAUAAUAUGAAAAGGCCUUGCAGGUAAUUUCACAGGGUAACAAGGAAUGCCAGGCUCAUUCUAAUUACUGACACUAUGGACAUUUAAAUGAAAUUUGUUCUUUAUAACAUGCCUGGUAUAGAAAUGCAGCAUUAGAUGCCUUUUAUGUGCUCUCAUUCCAUUUGUUAGUUGCACUCAGAAUAUGUUUUUGGGUUUAUUUUUGUAACUGGGAAAAUUGGAACACCAUAUAAAAACAAACAAACUUGAAAUUCUUCCAAUGAUCCCUUCAUUCCAGUAGCUGAGGCUUUAAGGAAUGCCAUGAGAAAACUGCAAGAAUUAAUAAUAGUAACAAUAAAGCAACAAUAAUAAUUGCUAUUAUAGUAAUAAUAAUGUUUUCUUUUUAAUAUUACAUGAACCAAAAAUAAGAUGCAAGGCCACAUUUCAUUGUUUUCUUUUAUGAGCCUGCUAUAACACACUGGCUGUGAGACAGCACUGCCUUGAAAUACCAUUUGGUACUGUGUGUCAAAGAACCUAUCUUUUAUUUAUAUAUUUAAAGCUGUUUGCAACCUGCUUUGAACGUGGCAAGGUUGAUGCCAUCUCCCUUUUAAUGAACUCACAUUGCCGAGUUACUUUUAAUUCACAAACUGUGAGAACAGAAUUUGGCAAAAUACUUUUACACCACCCAAGGAGUCAUUCUGAGGACAAAUUUUCUGAUAUCAGGGUGUCCUCUGUCCUCUGUCUUGUGUUAAUGUCUGCAUUUCAAAUACUCUUCAAAGUACUUGAAUUUCUCACCUUUAGAUCCUUCUUGAUCUGUGUAUGACCUUUAUGGUUUCUUUCCUCUAAAAGGCCUGCUUCUUCCAAUAAAAAGGUGAUUUUUAAAAGAAUUUGUCUUUAUUUGUAUAUAAUCAUUGUAUAGAUUGCAUCAAAUGCUUUAGAACAUACAUGAAAAACACUCUUAGCUUUUCACACGCAGUUAGGAGAUAGGCGUCUCUCUGUGAAGUUUGAGAUGAAAUAUUCAAAUGCAAGAGGAAAAAAACUAUAUCGCCUACCUUAAAAAGGUCUUCAGAAACCUGCUGGGAAGAGUCUGAAGAGGAAAGAUAGGAAUGAUACACCACCAUUUUUGAGAAAGGAUGGGAUAAUCCCAUUGGUUACUACUAUGCAGUAGUGUUUUCAAGGUUACUUUCAACUCCAGAGCAAAUAGUUUGCAAGCUGUCCUGAAGAUUUAGCUAGAAAAGAGAGAUUCUUAGAAGUGAAAAAAGAGAGUCAUAGGCCACUGGGUGCUGUGUAAUUGGCACUCAGCCCCAGUCACAGAAGUGGGAGCUACAUCCAAGCUUUCUCCAUGUUGGAAGUAGGGAAUAUAUUGAAGUUGGAGGCAGUUUAGUGAAAGCUCAUUUGGACUACGUAGUUCUGUAAAAAUGAAACCACUUUACAUACAGCUUCAAAAGUAAGGUUGGAAGCACCAAGUCCCCACAGUUCUGAAAUGUUCUAUUUAAACAGCAUGGAAAUUCAGUAGCUUGAUUCUUGUGUUUUACUUCAGUUUUUAUUUUUUACAAAAGCAUCUACAUAUCUACAUUAAUGUAGAUCUUGCCAUAUCAGUGUAAAAUCACUUUAAAAGCAAAGAAAAAAUCAAAAUAAAACAGUAGUUGAAGGAAAGGUAAUCUUAACCUUCAGAUAUCUCAGAAGAAAUUAUUUUGCCAAGCGGGGAUCUGCAGUGGGUUAAUCAGCCUUUUGCAGAAAGUGAAGGAAGAAAAAUCUCUGACUAAUCUCAAAGUAGUUGUCAUGGGUAAAAUCAUCAAAAUGUAUAGAAGAAACAACACUUUUUAGUUUGAAUGCAUCACAUUUUUUACAGACAGAAAAGACUUCCUAAGGACAUUCUUGCUAUCUUAAAUCCCUCAAUCUUGCUCAGUGUCAUUUCUGAAUGAAACCAUUGUUGAGGCAACACUGAGUUGAAUAGCUCCAUCAACCCUCUUUAAUUUUCUUGGAGAUUAUGGGAAAACCUCUAUAAAUCACUUUUAUGACCUCAUGAAAAACUUGCAGUUGUAUGGCAACACUUGCAUGAAUUAUGAGAUAGCCACAACAAGGACCAAAGAUGUCAAGGAUGCCAAAGCAAAGCUUUUUGUACCCUGGGACAUGGCAUUGCAUUCCUCAAAUCUGGUGUUGGCAGAAACACCAAAGGCAGACAUGGAAUCUAAACUUCUCUCUGUCUCCUAAAUGCAAGGCGGGGAUUUGGAAAAGCUGGGAAGGCACCGUUAAAAUAGCCUUGAGAAGGGUCAUUAGUCUGAAGACGUAGCAAUUUAGUUCUUCAUUAGCAUUAUAAAUUAAGCAGAAUAUACACAUGAAAAAAAUACAAAAAAAAAAAUUCCAGCAUCAUAUACUUUGUGAAAAAAAGAAUGCAGGAAAAAUGCUCUUUUUUUUUUCCUUUAAAAAAAGAAAAAAAUCCUUUGAAGUUUACACAGUAUCUUUUGCUGAGAGACCUCAUGCAGUUCCAGUGAUUUAGUAUCACGCAAUAGACUUCCAGUUGGUCUUUCUUGGAAUUCCUUCUCAAUUACCAUGAUCUCACAGUGUUUUGCUCCCAUGUGUUGAAAUCAAAAGUCCCAAUCCAAGAAUCACCGGGCUUUAUGAAAUUUCAUGGUACUGGAAACCUAAAGCAAAGCCUAAAUUUUGCAACUUUUAGAUGAUAAACUGAGAGACAAACACCUGGAGUGUGUUGGAGCUAGAGACAAUUGUACACGUACUAACUAAAAGUUAUGUGAUUCCAACAGCACUGAAACACUUCAUAGCAACAAAUUGAUUUUGUCAGCACUACUUUCUGGAGGAAAACUGCAAGAAAGGUUCUGGCUGUGCUAGAGAACCCAGGCCAACUUUUCUGACAAGACACUACAAUAUUUGGCUUUGUGCUUUAAUUUUCUACCAUAAUAAUAAUAAUAAAUAAUAAUAAUAAUAAUAAUAAUAAUAAUUAAAAAAAAAGAAGUAAAAUAUUCUAGUUUUGUCAAAAUAUUUUUUUUUUUUCUAUUAUUGACACUAAAUGAAUCUUGAGAUAUUUCCUGGCAAGCGUACUGAAUGUUUCAAUUGUCACCCGCAUUCAGAGCAGAGUCAGACUCCCAAAUCUCCCCCCACUGCUACUGAAUAAAAUGUUUAUCCUCUAUCAAUGGCAGCAACAUUCUGUUUAGGCAACCCAAACAUAACCCCGCGGUGAGUUCCCGGAAUAGAAAUGGCAGAAGGUCCUGGGUUCAGCCUGAGUGAGCUUUGGCCAGGCUGACAUACUCUCACCUCCUUCUGUCCCCCACACCCCAGUGUGCAGAGGGAAGCCACAAAUGUCACUCUGAGGCACCCCUGGGGAUGGAUAUUAUUGAUGUUCUGCUGGCCGUGCUACAGCAAAGUGUCCUGCAGCUGCGGUAAGAUGUGGAAAGCAGAUUUGCUCUCCUGUUUGAUUUCCACUUUCUCUCCUUCCUCCUCUCACUUUGGAUAACUCUGCGACUUCUCUUGCACCUUAGAAGUUUUAGUUUGGGAUAGAAGCAGCCAUUGGAUACGAGGAACUGGGGCUCUGUGUUGUGAUUCAGACAAGCCCAUAUUCCAUUUUUUUAACUGGUCUUGGCACCUCUCUUUGGAACAGAGAGCUGAGAUGAUAUGCUUUCUGCUUUCUCCAUUCCUGAGGUCUGCUCACACUGCUAUUUCCCCUAAUCCUCUUGCCCAGGCCCUGCUGUUUGAGCCAAUUCGCUGAGCUUCUUCUCUCUCUUUUUCCCCCUGCCAUUAUUCCAGGUGGUUACCCAUCCCAUUUCACUUCAGAGUGUCACCAGGUUGCUGCCAAAAUCUCUUCUGUUUUCUCUCCCGUUGUGUUCACUCUUUCUCUUUUUUUAACUUUUAAUCUCAGCCCUGGGUGAGGUGCACUGAGCAGUCAUGAUGAAGCUUUCAGGAUGUUAGAAAGUAAACUGCUGGAAGAGGUCAGCGAGAGCAAAAACCAAUAAAGCACAAGAAAGAAGUUUGAUACAUACGAACAAAACAAUUGGUAAUGAUGUGAAAUAGUUGGGUCAACCAAGGGCUGUGCACAAAUGAAAAGAUUCACCUCCAAACACCUGAAAAGUUUACCUAACCUGCUUUUCCUUGACAGGAGUUAGUCUGUUGCCAUGAACCACCGCUAACAGCUUUACACCUUAUGUUUAUUUGCACAUCUCCAGGCAUAGAUGAGCAUCUGGC